UUGCCCAAGGUGCCAAUAAAAAUCGAUCUUGACUUGGAAUAGCUUCUCCGCAUCGCUCUUAGUCAGAGCAUGUUCAGCGACCUCAGGUUGAAUCAGAGUAACUUCAGCGGCCUCAGGUUGCAUCCUAGGCUGCGGCGCCUCGGCCGACCUCAUCCUCUUGUGCUCGACAGGUUCUGCAUCCACGGCCUUCCUCUUGGGUUGGGACCUGGGCGGCGACUCGGAAUCUGGGACCGUGUCGCCUUGCAGUGGCGGCUGGUGGAUGUUAUUGUCGUCCGGCACCACAUUGUCCCCCGCCCCCUCCUCCUCCUCCUCCUUCUCCUCCGAUUCUUCAUUGCCCCCAGUCUCCUCCUCCGAUUCUUCUCUUAGAGGCUGCUUCUCCACAACUUGGUGGUCAGAACCGUCGGAGGAGGCGUCUUCCUCGGAUGAGCCGUAGGAGGAUUGCGGGGAGGCCAUGAAGCAACCAACGGUGGUUAGGGUACGUCUUUCGGAAUCUAUAUCCGUCUUGACAGACGGCUUUGUUUUCCUUAUUUUAUUUAGGAAAAAGUCCAAAACGAACCUUGAAUUGGUAGAUGAAAGAUAAAUCGAACCCUGAACUUUGAAUCCCGAAAAUUGGCACUCCGAACUUAUCAAUCCCGGUCUACUUUGGACCCUAGACCUAUUUGGGGCACUGGAAAUAUAUCAAUCCCGUCCGGAUAAGGUACUACUCUCAUUUAUGACUAUUUGGGCCGGCUCACAACUUGCAUUUUCGAAAAUGAAAAAAUGUUCGUGUUUUAAAAUUGUGUAUUUUUUUAAAUGUUCGUCCUUUCAAUCAUAAAAAAAUCCGUGCAUUUCAAAAAAUGUACAGUAAUUUAAAAAUGUUCCUGUUUUCGUUUUUCUGCCAAAAAAUAUUUUUUUUUAGUGUUUUAAAAAAUUGUUCAGAAGUUAAAAAAUAGAGCGCAAAUAUUUUGCGACGUCAUGAGCAAAAAAAAUUAAACUAUAAUAUUUCUCCAAUCUUGAACUGUUUUUCAAAUUUGAACAUUUUCUGAAAGAUGAAAAAAAAACUAGGAGAAACCGUAGCAAGCAUUUUUUGAAAAACUAGGAGGUACUGUAGCAGAAAAUAUUGAAGACAUGCUGGCCUGAAUAAUUUUUUGUACUGCGGACAUUGUUUAAAAAUUCUGAAUAGUUUUCCAAAACAUUGAUUGUAUUAAAACACAACCAAUUUUAAAAAAAGCAAACACUAUUUCGGACAUAAACAUUUUAAAAUAAAAACAGGUGCAAAUUCUGAAGCAUGAACAAUUUUUUCAAAAUAUUUAUACAAUGUAAAAAAAAGUUAUUGUCUUCACGUAAAUGUAAAACAUGUAGUUUACAAAAUAUUGUUGUGUCACAUUGUUCAAAAAAUGUUUUCGGAAUUUCGUAUACUAUUUGUUUUUAAAAAAUAUUCUGUAUUUCAAACUGUUCAAAUUUUUUCCAAGAAAUGUUUCGUAAUUUUUCAAAAAACAAAUCAUAUAUGAACAAUACUCUCUGUUCUUAUAAGGAAUGUGCUAUGUCAGAUCAAUUGCAUCCUUCAGUUGCGUUGGCUAGGUGCGGCCGCUACUAGCCCGAGGUUUACUAGUUCGAAUCAUCCUGUCAUGCACAUUACGUACUACUAGUAUUUUUUAUCGCUUGGGUUCGUAGAAAACGAAAAAGAAAAAACACCCAAUCAACUGCGUCGAUGGGCUGGCCCGAUUUAUCCUAGUAUCCAGCCAGUCAGUCAAGUAUCUUUUUCUCCAAAAAAAAAAAGUCAGUCAAGUAUCCUUGCCACAUCAAGCAGUAUAGCAGCUAAACACCCUCAAAGGUUUAAAAUAGACCGGGAUCAGAGAGUUCGGUGUGCUGAUUUCCGGAAUUACAAGUUCAGGGUUUGAUUUAGCUUUUCUCAAUAAGUUCAAGGUUUAUUUUGGACUUUUUCCUUUUAUUUAUUGAUAGAUAGACAAGAGACCGCUACUUCCCCUCGUAGGAAGGGUGAUGACCAAGCCAGAAUCGUAGCCUACCUUAUGCGCCGAUAUAUAUGCUACGAAGUAGUAUAAGGUAACGAACCUUAUUACAAUCCUAAACAUAAUUAUUCCAGAAUGAUAAUAUCCUGAACAUCAGUUUUUGAGUUUCCGGUACUGGCUUAUCACCGUCCAUUGCAGCGUACGAAUCUUAAAUCCAGUUGCAGUGCCACAUUAGAUGUUGUCCAUCGUUCACUGUAGCCAUCGCCCUUCCAAAAUGCGCACUCUCCAUGCAGGUCCCCUUUUCUCUCUCCCUUCUCUGCUCCCACCAACCGCCCUCGGCAGUUUCCCCAUUCCCCUCUCGCUUUUACUCGCUCUCGGCUGGUGUGUGGCGACUCCGCGGCUGAAGGGUCGCGAUUGAGGGAAUCCUGGAUUAGGAGGUCCUCGGCCAGCCGGACUAUAUCCUUUGGCCGGACUGUUGGACUAUGAAGAUACGAGAUUGAAGACUUCGCCCCGUGUCCGGAUGGGACUCUCCUUUGCAUGGAAGGCAAGCUUGGCGGUUCGGAUAUGUAGAUCUCCUUCUCUGUAACCGACUCUGUGUAACCCUAGCCUCCUCCGGUGUCUAUAUAAACCGGAGGGUUUAGUCCGUAGAACAACAACAAUCAUAAAUAUAGGCUAGCUUCUAGGGUUUAGCCUCAACGAUCUCGUGGUAGAUCAACUCUUGUAAUACUCAUAUCAUCAAGAUCAAUCAAGCAGGAAGUAGGGUACUACCUCCAUCGAGAGGGCUCGAACCUGUGUAAACAUCGUGUCCCCAGCCUCAUGUUACCAUUAGCCUUAGACGCACAGUUCGGGACCCCCUACCCGAGAUCCGCCGGUUUUGACACCGACAUUGAUGCUUUCAUUGAGAGUUCCACUGUAUCGCCGCGAUAAGGCUUGAUGGCUCCUUCAAUCAUCAGCAACGAUGCGGUCCAGGGCGAGAUUUUUCUCCCCGGACAGAUCUUCGUAUUCGGCGGCUUCGUACUGCGGGCUAACUCGCUUGGUCAUCUAGAGCAGAUCGACAGCUACGCCCCUGGCCACCAGGUCAGGUUCGGAAACUUGAACUACACAGCCGACAUCCGCAGAGACUUGAUCUUCGACGGGUUCGAGCCCGCGUCAGGAGCGUUGAAAAUUCACGACGAGCAUGACUUACAUCUGCCAUCAGACGGUAUUCGGGAUAUCGCACCUACAGCUGCCCCGGACUUUAAUCUGGAGCAGAUCGCGCCAUCCGAGGACGGGUGGAUGGACCCCGCCAUGGAGGCCGUGCACUCAUCGGCGUUGGAGCCAAACACAGACUCCACCUCCAAAGAGAUUUGUGUAACCGGACCCCCGGACUCGUCUCCGGUCUUAGGGUCCAAAACCGCGCGCGUCCGUGCCCAUCGAAUCUGAUUCGGCACCGAUCAUAGAGUUUACCUCCGUGGGUAUCUUUCAACACUCACCCUUGGGUGACAUGCUAAAUUCACUGAGGUCUCUCUCUUUAUCAGGGGACUCAUGGCCGAACUAUGUCUAGCUCGAGUGGGAUGCGGAUAACGAAGAAAUUCGCUACCCACCCACCACCCACUUAAUAGCCACUGUCGAUGACUUAACCGACGUGCUCAACUUCGACUUCGAAGACAUCGACAGUAUGAACGACGAUGCAGGAGAAGAACAGGAACCGACACCCACAGGGCGCCGUACAACAACCUCAUCAUAUGAUAUAUAUAUAUAUAUAUGGUGGACACCCCCAAAGAAAACAAUGGUGAUGAGGCAACGAAGGACAAUCCCCUGGGGAGGCAAUCAAAACACUAGCGUCAUUGACGCCGCUCUAAGCCCCGCCACGGAAGAAAUAGCAGCACUGACACAGGAGAUGAUAGCAAUCCGGAUGGUGCCGAAGACGAAGACAAUCCCGCCCAGCCUGACUUCAAGCAGGCCGGCCAGAAGGAUGGGCAAGCUAGCCCUAAGGAUCAGGCAACAUAUGGAGAAUUAGAGGAAGAUAAUUAUAUGCCUCUCUCUGAAAACGAGGCGGGCCUCGGUGACGAAGAAUUUGCCGUGCCUGAGGAUCCUGUCGAGCAGGAGCACUUCAAGCGCCGGCUUAUAGCCACUUCAAAAAGCCUGAAGAAAAAACAACAACAGCUUCAAACUGAUCAAGAUCUGCUAACAGAUAGAUGGACUGAGGUCCUGGCAGCCGAGGAAUACGGACUCGUGCGCCCAACCAAAAGUUACCCAAAGCGCAGGUUGCUACCUCACCUCGAGGAGGAGGCACUAGAGCCCACUUUACUAGCACAGGACGAGGCUGACCGGCCACCUCGUGGCCGAGACAAUGCGGCGCAUCAGCCCGAACACCAACCCGCACCCCGCCGCCAAUACUACGGCCAGGGGCUACACGCAAGACCUGCGAGACGUACUGGGAAACAAAGCAGGACAGUCAAGAUCAAUCUACGGAUCACGAAGGCGCGCCACAACGCGUGAAGAUAAUCGUCACGCCGGAUACACUAAAAACAAAUCCGACCUGGCCGAAUACAACAAACCAGAUUCAUUCGAACUGUGCCGUGAUAUAGACCGGCACAGAGGCACCGCACACCCCCUAUGCUUCACCGAUGAAGUAAUGGAUCAUGAAUUCCCAGCAAGGUUUAAACCCGUAAACAUUGAAUCGUAUGAUGGUACAACAGACCCUGCAGUAUGGAUCGAAGAUUUCCUUCUCCACAUUCACAUGGCCAGCGACGACGAUCUACAUGCCAUCAAGUAUCUCCCACUUAAGCUCAGGGGACCGGCCCGGCAUUGGCUGAAUAGCCUGCCGGCAAACUCCAUUGGUAGUUGGGAGAACCUGGAAGACACAUUCCUUGACAAUUUCCAGGGCACUUACGUGCGACCACCGGACGCUGAUGACUUAAAUCACAUAACCCAACACCCCGGAGAGUCAGCCAGAAAAUUCUGGACUCGGUUCCUAACUAAAAAGAACCAAAUUGUCGACUGUCCGGAUGCCGAAGCCCUAGCGGCUGAGGGAGUUCCGGACUAGGGGGUGUCCGGAUAGCCGAACUAUCAUCAUCGGCCGGACUCCAAGACUAUGAAGAUAGAAGAUUGAAGACUUUGUUCCAUGUCCGGAUGGGACUUUUCUUGGCGUGGAAGGCAAGCUUGGCGAUACGGAUAUGUAGAUCUCCUACCAUUGUAACCGACUUUGUGUAACCCUAGCCCUCUCCGAUGUCUAUAUAAACCGGAUGGCUUUAGUCCUUAGGACGAACAACAAUCAUACCAUAGGCUAGCUUCUAGGGUUUAGCCUCAUUGAUCUCGUGGUAGAUCCACUCUUGUAACACACAUCAUCAAUAUUAAUCAAGCAGGACGUAGGGUUUUACCUCCACCAAGAGGGCCCGAACCUGGGUAAAACAUCGUGUCCCUUGUCUCCUGUUACCAUCCACCUAGACGCACAGUUCGGGACCCCCUACCCGAGAUCCGCCGGUUUUGACACCGACAUUGGUGCUUUCGUUGAGAGUUCCUCUGUGCCGUCACCAUCAGGAAGGAUGCCCUUUCCCGUCUUUAAAGACGGCACCGUCGUCAAGGGAGCUUUGGCUGCUGGCCAAACUAUCCGUCUAGGCGGUUUUCUUAUGACCACCUGUUCGGCCGCCGCUCCGACAAUGACCUCUCAGGUCAUUAAAAGCGAUCUUCACGUCAGCUCGGAAUUCGCCGAGCAGCUAGAUCCGAUUGAGCUCUCCUCCGUAAACGAGCUCUUGGAUCGCAUCGCCGCCCUGGGAGUCGCUACCGACUACGAUCAGAUUGGGCUUAAAACCGAUCUGAGAGAAAUUAACUCUCCCCAGGUUACCCACCACGUUGUUGUGGUAGAGGAACAAUGCGGCGACUCUUCUUCUAUGUUAAAAACCAACUAUGUCCGGAUUCCCGAUCCCUCCAUGCCGGAUUUCCACGAAGGGAUGGACGCUAAUCAAAUACUGAACUUAAAGUCAGGCAUCGGACCAGAUUUGUUGGAAAGCGUCCAGCAAACCAAGCUUCCGAAUCCGGAAGCUUCUUGGCCUUUGAGCCUCAGAUCGGGCGGGGUUCUGAACUUGAUUCCACCCGCCCACCCAAACAUAAGCGAUCUAUCUCAAAUACGGCAAGAGCCCGAUGAAACAGUACAUCAUUACUGGGCCAGAUUCCUCCUGGUUAUGAACAGGAUAAAGGACUGCCGUGAAGAAAGCGCGGUUUCAAUCUUCUGCAACAAUUGCACGGACAAGGGAAUCAUAAACGCCAUCAGUCGUCGCAAAGUGACACGCUUCGUCGACCUAGCGACCAUUGUACAAAAAUACUGCGCGAUGGAAAGUGCCUAGAAAACCGAAACUAGGUUUUGGGACAAUCCGGCCCUGAAUACAACCCCAGUCCAAAAUAAAAGGGUGCGUCAUACUCAAGCACCUGGGUUAAAAACCAAAAAGCAAAAACCCCCUAAAGGGUACGGAACCGUACUGGAGGGAUGGCUCAACGGACCCUGCAAAAUCCACAGUACAGAGGGCGCCACUCCAACACAUAGCCUUCGAGCAUGUUGGAUAUUACGGCAGGUGGCCAAAAGUGGUGAAGGCUUUUUAGCCCCGGGUAACCAGCCCAGCAACACCAGUACGGUAUUAACAGUCUUCGAGACUUUCGCAUCAAAUAAUAUGCGGAAACAAACAAUCCGCAGCCUCGCCGAAGUCUACCAAGUUGCAACAACAAAUCCAUGGAGUGACACGACUAUCACCUUCAAUGCCAGCGACGAACCUAAAUUCCGAACAGCUAGAGCACCAGCCGCAUUGGUCCUCAGUCUGAUAGUGGACGGCUUUCGUCUUACCAAGGUACUCAUGGAUGGCGGCAGCGGAUUAAACCUCAUCUACGAAGAAACUCUUCAAAAAAAUAGAAAUUGACUAGAGCCGCAUCGAGCGGAGCAGCACAACCUUCAGGGGAAUAAUCCCUAGUCGAUAAGUACGCUGCACAGGAAAAAUAACACUAGAUGUAGUGUUCGGCUCGCCGGACAAUUACAGGUCCGAAGAGGUCACGUUCCAAGUGGCCCCAUUCGGCAGCGGAUAUCACGCUUUGUUAGGGCGAGAGGCAUUCACAAUCUUCCAAGCUAUACCCCAUUACGGGUACAUGAAGCUCAAAAUGCCCGGACCCAAUGGAAUAAUCACUCUCGCCAGUGAUCCAGAUACAGCACUACGCGCUGAAAAUAAGACAGCCGCACUGGCCUUAGAGGCAUUAUCCGAAGCCCUAGCGGCAGAAGAACUAACUGCGCUGCGCUCAACGGUGGAUAGGGACGACGUGAUACUCGACAAGAGGUCCAAGUCCAUCUCUUUCAAACCAGCAGACGAAAUAGUCAAAUUUCAGGUCCAUCCAACGGACCCCACAAAGACGGCAUCCAUUGGGGCACAAUUAAAUCCUGAUGUAGAAGCCGCACUACGAGAAUUCCUCCGGAAAAAUUGGGACAUUUUUGCCUGGCACCCUUCAGACAUGCCAGGAAUCCCACGCAGGCUAGCAGAGCACAGCCUAAAUAUCCUAAAAGGAUUCAAACCAGUCAAACAAGCUCUUUGGCGAUUUUCCGAACCCAAAAGACAGGCAAUGGGAGAGGAGCUAGCCAAGCUCUUAGAAGCCGGAUUCAUCAGAGAUAUCAAACAUCCGAACUGGCUAGCCAACCUAGUAAUGGUACCAAAAAAGGACAAAUCCUGGCGCCUCUGCGUCGAUUUCAAAGACCUUAACAAGGCCUGUCCAAAGGACCCUUUCCCUCUCCCUCGCAUCGACCAAAUCAUCGAUGCUACUGCAGGGCAUGAUUCAUUGUGCUUCCUCGAUGCAUACUCCGGAUACCAUCAAAUAAAGAUGGCGGAAAAAGACCAGGCCGCAAUGGCAUUCAUUACUCCAUAUGGGUCAUUCUGCUUCAACACAAUGCCCUUCAGACUCAAAAACGCCGGCGCAACAUAUCAACGCAUGAUUCAGACAUGUCUGGCCACCCAGAUAGGCAAAACAGUAGAGGCAUACGUAGACGAUGUGGUCGUCAAGACCAAACACGUCGAAACCCUAGUAGACGACUUGAGGGUGACAUUUGACAACCUCCGAGCAUAUGACAUUAAGCUCAACCCGGAAAAAUGUGUCUUCGGAGUACCAGCCGGAAAGCUUUGGGGCUUCAUUGUAUCCGGUAGAGGAAUUGAAGCAAACCCAGCCAAGAUCCGAGCUCUGUCACAAUUGGAUAUCCCAAAAUACCUCAAGCAAAUACAAAAACUAACAGGGUGCGUAGCGGCUCUAAGCCGCUUCAUCUCCCGUCUGGGAGAAAAGGCUCUGCCCCUCUAUCGCCUCCUCUGGCGCACCGAACACUUCGAAUGGACGGAUGCCGCCAUGACCGGACUCGAAGAAAUCAAGGCCAUACUGGCAACAAAUCCGGUCCUGGUCGCGCCCAACCUGGGCGAACCUAUGUUAUUAUAUAUCGCAGCAACACAUCAGAUUGUCAGCGCGGUACUCGUCGUCGAACGAGAAACAGAAGGGCACAGAUUCCCUCUUCAAAAACCAGUGUACUACGUAUCCACUGUCUUAACUCCAUGCAAGUCCCGGUACCCACAUUAUCAAAAGAUAGCGUAUGCGGUGUUCAUGGCAUCCCGGAAGCUGCGACACUACUUUCAAGAGUGUUCCAUAACGGUGGCCUCCGAAGUACCUCUCAACGAUAUUAUAAACAACCGCGACGCAACGGGCAGGAUUCCAAAAUGGGCCAUUGAGCUCUUACCAUUUGACAUAACCUACAAACCACGGCGAGCUAUAAAAUCACAAGUUCUGGCUGACUUCAUCGUCGAAUGGACCGAAGCCGAACUCCCUAAAGAGUACGGCGCGUACUCCAAUUGGAUCAUGCAUUUCGACGGAUCCAAAAUGUUGCCUGGCUUGGGGGCUGGCGUCGUCUUGACGUCCCCAACUGGAGACACAGUCCAAUAUGUACUUCAAAUAAUGUACAUGGACUCCAACAACGCAGCCGAAUACGAGGCCCUCUUGCACGGCCUCCAGAUGGCAAUCUCCAUGGGCAUUCAACGCCUAGAGGUGCGCGGAGAUUCAAACCUCGCAAUAUCCCAAGUAAAUGGAGACUUUGAUGCCAAAGAUCUGAAAAUGGCAGCUUACCGCAACACCGUCCUAAAAAUGUCAGCUCGGUUCGAAGGACUCGAAUUCCACCAUGUAGCCCGGGAUAAUAACCAGGCAGCAGACGUGUUAGCACGCAUCGGCGCAAAAAGCGACACCGUCCCUCCAAACAUCUUCCUCGAACGGCUCUUUAAGCCAUCCGUAUUAUGGGAAGAGGAGUCCGGAAAUAACAAUCCGGAGCCAGCUGCAGCACCUAACCCAGACAAUUCCGACACAAUCGGCGGCUCAGCAAAUGAAAUAACACCUUCAACCCACGAAAUAAUGGCAGUAAUUGCCCUGUGGACGGAACCAUUCCUAGCCUACUUAAUUAGGCAGGAACUUCCCGAAGACCAAAAUGAGGCCCGCUGCAUAGUUCAGCGAUCUAAAGCCUACAAGGUCCAUGAGGGAGAACUUUAUAAGAAAAGCACAACCGGAGUCCUUCAAAGGUGUAUCUCCGAAGAGGAAGGGCGUAAUCUCCUGGCUGAAAUUCACGCCGGACUCAGAGGGCACCACGCUGCAGCCCGGGCCCUUGUUGGCAAGGCCUUCUGUACAGGAUUUUAUUGGCCGACAGCCCGGGCAGAUGCUCAGGACUUAGUCCAAUGAUGCGUCGGUUGCCAGCUCUUCGGUAAUCAGAGCCACAUGCCACCCACCGCCCUCAAAACUAUACCCAUCACCUGGCCGUUCGCGGUCUGGGGCUUGACAUGGUUGGACCCCUUAAAGGGGGAACCCACAAGCACAAAUACUUAUUGGUCAUGGUGGACAAAUUCACCAAAUGGAUUGAAGCCAAGCCGGUUAAAACAGCAGAAUCCGGACCUGUGAUAGAUUUUAUAUCCGGGGUAGUACACCGUUUUGGCGUCCCCCACAGCAUCAUCACUGAUAACGGCACGAAUUUCACGGCCGACGAGGUUAAACUCUGGUGCAAAAAUAUGGGCAUCAAGCUCGGCUACGCUUCAGUUUACCAUCCCCAAACAAACGGCCAAGUCGAGCGAGCAAAUGGUCUAAUCAUGAGCGGCAUCAAACCCAGACUAGUGCGGUCCCUCAAGGAAUCUAACACGCACUAGGUAGAGGAGCUCGACUCCGUACUCUGGGGGCUGCGGACCACGCCAAACCGAACUACCGGAUUCACACCAUUUUAUGGUGUACGACACAGAGGCAGUUCUGCCCUGCGAUAUAAUUCAUGACUCACCUCGCAUGCGCAUGUACGAAGAAAGAGAAGCCGAGCUGGAUCGGCAGGAUAGUUUGGACGCCUUAGAGGAGGAGCGGGACGUGGCAAAAGCUCGUUCCGCAUUUUAUCAACAGCAGGCUCAAAGAUAUCAAAGCAGAGAAGUACGGGCCAAAGCUUACAAUGUUGGCGAACUUGUUCUACGUCUGCCGGACAAGAAAAAGGACAAACUUAAGCCCAAGUGGGAAGGUCCCUUCAUCAUCGACCAAGUCCUAACCGGCGGAGCAUACCGUCUACGCAGCGCAUCUGACAACCGACUCGAGUCGAACCCAUGGAACGCAGCCCGUCUCCGAAGAUUCUACGCCUAACGCCGGACUCAGAGUUCGUCUCACUCCUCCGUCCACCUUUUUACGUUUUCACUGUCUCUUGUCCCCCUCCUUCUUCCCACUUUUUUUUUCGAAUACCUUGGAUAGGCUGAUUUGCGCAUUGUUCGCACAUAGUUGAUGUGCUCCUAGCACUCAUUAUACCUGGGGGCUUCUUUAACAGAAGCUUAAUUAUACGGGCUUCAUGCCCGACACAUGUGUCAUACUUUCGCAUGUACCUUUUUUUCACCAUUAUAUGCAUCGAUGUGACUUAAGUUUUGGCCAAGCUGGGUUGCCUGGCUCCUGUGCUUACCCCUACGUUCCCGAUUGUUCGGCUAAGAGGUAAAGGGAGCACCUCUGUGAUUGUUACUGCCGGGUCAGCCGGAUGUGUACCUCAGACUGGGUGAAGCCGAAAGCUAGCGUUCUUAAGAGAAUAUUCGGUCGGUGACUUGAAAGAUGAUUUAUUACUUAUUUAUUUGCCCCCAGAUGCUUUCUCUGCUAUUUUCGCAGUCCGGACAUGCACUUUAGGGCAUGCCUCCCAGGGAAAGGAACCCUUAACGGAACUAUUCUCCCUGGAAGAUGUUUCUUACUAACCAUGUAAUAUAACAUAACUAGUUGGGCACUUGUCUGAUAAAGCAAUUAUGACCCCGACGCCUUGUCUCCAUGCAUGCCCCGGUUCUUCUAUAACCGUAAGGGUAUUCGGACACACUCCGGACUGUUGGGUCCCGAGGUUGAAGCAAAAAGGUCCACAAAGACAAACGAUCUACAAUCCGGCUAGAAGGCAUUUUACAUGUCAUUUCAAAUUACAUCGUCAAACCGACUGAUUGUACUCCUCCUCAAUCCCAUCUAACAGGCUGUCUAAUUUACAGUCCUGUUGGGAAUAUUUUGCGGCCAGUUCUACUUGGCCGUACAUCAAGCUCACAGGGAUCUCCUUCCCAUCAGGCCCCGCAGGUCCGACCUCGGCCAUGUGGUUUGGGUCAGCCUUCGGGUACCGCGUCUUCACCAUGGCCUAGGCCUCCCUGGCGCCCUGACGGCAGGCCGAUAUCUUCCACAGACGGAGGCAUCGCCGUGCUCCCUGAAGCUUCUCAGCAAGCCCUCCAAGGCCCUCGGGUAGGGAGACGGAUGGCCAUAACGCCUGAACGACGCCACUCAUCGCCUGCUGAACACGUUCGAGCAGUUGCACCAGCUCGGGAAGUUGGUCACCCGUUGAACCAGGCAUUUCCUCCGCAGGGCAACCUGUGAGCACACCUAAAGACACAUUUCUAUCAAUCGACUUCCUCGCCGAAUUCUUCUUUUCAAAGGAAUUUGCUCAAGCACUUACUAUAAAUGCCGCGACGAAGCCGCUGAUUCUCCUUCACGGAGCCAGACAGCUGGGCCCGAACACCUUUCAGCUCUUCUCCUAGCUGGGUGUGGGCAUCUUGGAGCUUGUUUCUCUCCUGCUGCACCUUCAUAAGCACCCUCUCGCCGGCCUUUAGCUGACGCAGUAGUUGUUGCUUGUCCAGAUCUAGUCCGGUGCCCUCUGCAAUAUUAUUGUCAGAUUUACGCACACGCCACACUUUGUUAACUACUUAUCUUUUCGAAGUACGUAUUACCAGCGGGGGUCUCUGUGGCUCCCCCUGUGGUGGCUACUGCGGCCUCAAGUUGGGCCUUGCACUCUUGGAGCUCCUUGGACAGGUGGGUAUUCUUCUCCGUAAGAUCCUGCAUAAUAAAUGAUCCUUAAAUCAGUUAUUUUAACUAUUUUAAGUCUAGGGGGCUACUAGCAUAUAUAACUAUUAAAAUUACUUACACGUAUGUCCUUCACAUAAUGCUCCGUGGCUCUGGUUAAACCAUCUUGAGCGGCACGGAGGUGCGCGUUUCCCGCAUCAAAGGCAUUCAAACGCCUCCGAGGAGAAACACGCGUCACGAAGAACUGUCCGGCGACGCCUGUGAUUCAUGGCGCUCUCCACCUUAGAUCGGGUGGCGGAUAGCCUAUCGGCAUCCUCCGUCGGAGGAGCAUCCGGCUCUUGCCUUGUGUUUGCCUCCACUUCCGGACCACGCGAUGGAGCAUGGCUGGCGGAGGCUUGAUUGGCAACCUCUCCGGACACCGUCCGACGAGCGCUCUUUUUCCUGGAAAAAGUUAUGAGCAUCAAUAUAGGGAUCCUUCCCUUAAAAACAACGAUGCGCCGUACCGUUGCGGCGACGUUUCGAUUCGCGUCGCACUCCUCUUCUGCCUGCUGGGCCGAACUGACCCUUGCUGGUCAGCCGCCGCAGGUUCGGCUUCCCGCCUUAAAGGCACCUCCUGCGAUGCACCAUCAGUAUAGGAUGGUCAGAAUUGAGCACGGAUCAAAUGAUGGUGUCAAAACCUUGGUCGUAGUCACCUAGGUGGCCGAAAACAAACCGGGGUAGUCAGCUGUAAUGGCGACUAGAGCAUUGUCCAUGCUAAGUUGGUGGAACACCCCGUCAAUCAGAUCCACCUUUAUGUCCGGGUCCUCUUCGGGGGUCGGAUCAAGGGAUCGUUCCGGAUCCUCGAGCUGUGGAGUUAGGCUUCGUAUGCCCUCCACGUUCCGGCGCAGCUCCUGCAUCGAAAUCACAAAGUAAAAUACUUGACUUUGGAAGUAUGGAUCGGGUAGAUAAACGUCCGCUUACCCAGCUCCGAGGGUUAUUCAUGGAGAAUCCGUUCAAUGGAUUCGUGCGGAGAAAGUCCUCCUCCUCCCCUUGUACAAGCCGGACAGGAUCUUUGCCAGAUUGGCUGCCGAGCUCGGCCCUUUGCGGCCAUGACGGGUGGCGUCGUCUUCCCCGUUGAAAUCCCACAUAGGGUGGCCCCUAUAUUGGAGUGGCUGCACCCCUCGCAUAAUGCACGUGGCCAUGAUUCCAAUCAUGGUCAAUCCGGAGUGGGCCAGUAACCUAAUCUGGCCCAUCAGAUAAUGGACGCUCCCAUCCUCCUCCCGUUGAGGGCUCCGCGGGCGCCAACUCAGGCGUUUCUUCAAGGGAGCAUUGCUGAACUCCGGGAGGCCGAUCCGAACUGGAUCCGACAGAGGGGCGUCCUCCAUGUAGAACCAUUCCGAAGGCCAGUCUUCGGACGCCUUCUUCGGGGUGCCGGAUAGAUAUCCGGUCCCAGCGAUGCGCCAUAUUUCGGCUCCACCCACUUGAUAUAUCGACCCCUCAUAGGAACAGGGUACGAGGCAAAACAAUCUCUUCCACAACGCAAAAUGGGGCUCGAUGCCCAGGAACAACUCGCAAAGAGCUACAAAGCCCGCGAUGUGCAAAAUGGAGGCAGGUGUGAGGUGGUGAAGCUGGAGUACGUAGAACUCCAGGAGCCCCCGGAGAAACGGGUGUAUGGGAAAUCCGAGUCCCCUUAUUAGAUAAGGGACGAAGCAUACCCGCUCUCCUUUGGAAGGGCUGGGGACGCUCUCCGCCUGCUUUCCACCCUCGAAGGUGGCCAGUUCGGCUCGAACCGGAACCAUGAAAGCUGGGGGAAGAUAUCCCUCGGUUUGGAGCGCCACUAGCUCGCCGUGUGGAACGGAGCAUCUCCCCCAAUCUCCUGGCUUAGGGCUGGGAGCGCGAGAGGAGGAGCCGCGUUGACUAUCCAUGAUGGAAUGGGUUUUUGUCAGAGGCGCUUCGAUGAGGACUUGCGGAUGGAGGAUGGUGUGAGCUGGAUCUAGAUCCUCGCCUCUCUUAUAGGCGGCUCAUUCGCACGGCUAAGGGGUAAAAUGUAAAAAUACCCUAGCUUUUCGCAUUCAUAUGACACAUGGAAGAAGGCCAUUAUUUGGCGUAGAAGCCAAGGAGCGCAACAUUUAUAAGGAAGCCGGACACUAUUCGACAGGAACAUGAAGUUUGAAGGAGAACCCGCCUUGCAACGCCGAAGACAAUAUACGCGCCGGACUCGUCAUCGCUGAAGCCCGGUUCGGGGGCUACUGAGGGAGUUCCGGACUAGGGGGUGUCCGGAUAGCCGAACUAUCAUCAUCGGCCGGACUCCAAGACUAUGAAGAUAGAAGAUUGAAGACUUUGUCCCGUGUCCGGAUGGGACUUUCCUUGGCGUGGAAGGCAAGCUUGGCGAUACGGAUAUGUAGAUCUCCUACCAUUGUAACCGACUUUGUGUAACCCUAGCCCUCUCCGGUGUCUAUAUAAACCGGAUGGCUUUAGUCCUUAGGACGAACAACAAUCAUACCAUAGGCUAGCUUCUAGGGUUUAGCCUCAUUGAUCUCGUGGUAGAUCCACUCUUGUAACACACAUCAUCAAUAUUAAUCAAGCAGGACGUAGGGUUUUACCUCCAUCAAGAGGGCCCGAACCUGGGUAAAACAUCGUGUCCCUUGUCUCUUGUUACCAUCCGCCUAGACGCACAGUUCGGGACCCCCUACCCGAGAUCCGCCGGUUUUGACACCGACAACGACCUUUAAGCAUAACAUCCGCGACGAGUGGCUCGCCCGACACCUCGGCCAAGAGAAGCCGAAAUCCAUGGCAGCCCCCACGAUACUCAUGACCCUCUUUUGCACGGGCAAAGAUAACUGGUUGGCUCGUAGCAACAACACAGCAAGCAAUCCUGGCACAUCAGAGGCCAGAGACAGCAGCGGCAAGCCUCGACACAACAAACACAAGCGUCACAAAAAUAGUGAUGACGCCAAAGAUACGGCAUUCAACGCCGGAUUCCGUGGCUCCAAGUCCGUCAGCGGAAAAAGCCAUUUCGAAAGAACAAUUUGGGCCCGCCCGAUCUGGACCGCAUACUUGACCACCCAUGCCAAACUCAUGGUACCCCAGGAACGGCAGCCAAUCAUACCAACCGAGAAUGCGGGGUCUUCAAACAAGCCGGCAGGUCAGGCGUUGAAAACAAGGAGAAGGGGUCUCAAAGCGAUGAAGAUGACGAGGAGCCCAGAUCACCAAACAAUAGAGGGCAAAAGAAAUUCCCCCGCAAAUCAAAAUGGUGAACAUGAUAAACGCCAUCCACAUCCCCAAACGGGAACGGACGUGCACUUUUCGGGAUGUCGACUCAACGAAGCAAGUCGCCCCACAAUACAAAAUACGGCCGAUCACUUUCGAUUGUACAGAUCGUCCGGCCAAUACCAACCAGGGCAAUUCAGCCGCACUUAUCCUCGACCCAAUAGUUUGCGGGUUCCACCUCACAUGAGUCCUUAUGGACGGAGGCAGCAGUCUAAACCUGCUGUAUUAGGACACAGUGCGCCAGAUGGGUAUCGAUCGCUCGAUGAUCAAACCCACUAAAACCUCCUUUAAAGGUGUUAUACCAGGUGUGGAGGCUAGUUGUAUAGGCUCCAUCACUCUGGAUGUAGUCUUUGGAUCACCAAAUAAUUACCGUACCUAAGAGUUAGUCUUCGACAUCGUCCCUUUCCGCAGUAAUUAUCACGCACUGCUGGGGCGAACCGCGUUGGCUCGAUUCAACGCGGUACCACACUAUGCCUAUGGCAAGCUCAAAAUGCCCGGCCCGCGUGGCGUGAUCACAAUUAAGGGCAAAGCCGAACUCCACCUUAGUGCCGAAGAGUAUACCGCCGCUUUAACAGCAGAAGCAGCGAGUGGCACCUUUCAAUCGAACCUUGAUUCGACGGCCAAGCUCCCGGACACCGAUAAAGGAGUCCAAACUACUUCACGGCAUGAUAGCUCGGCUCGACCAGGGCUCAAUUAAACACUCCGGCAAAAGUUGGGAAGGGCCAUAUUUCGCGGCUCAACCGCUCUAUGGCACACAAAUAUUUCUACCAUUUCCUUUGCAGGUUCACUUUUGCACAAGACAGGACUGGCGACAUGGAAUCAACUCGGACGCGCAAGGGAAAUCCUUAGAAAUUCCCCUCGAAGACAAUCCGGAUAAACUCUGGAUCCGCACACAGCUUCUUCCCGCCUGGUCUCAGCAGGUUCCGCCGUCAUACUUCUUUUUAUAACAUCACCUGUACUCAUACGCAUAGACGUAUUACUCGAAUACAACAUGUAGAUUUAUAUGACGCUUAUCUGCUAUCAUUUCCUAUUGACACCUUUCCUCAUAACGGCAUCCGUACAUCAUGUCAUGCCCUAAUACGUCAGGGGCUUCAUUGUACCCAUACUAUGGCAAUAAAGUCCGACCACCUUCCCGGUCGCUCGGCACCCCGAACUUAUAGCAUUAUAUGCAUCAGCUCCGAAUCAUGUCUUGGGUCAAUAGUUGGGCUUGCCCGGCUCCCAUGUUUUGAUAUCUUACGUUCCGCAAUAUCAGCUAAGGUAGCACUGGGAGAACUACUGCGAUUGUGUCCCGGUUCUUCCGGACGAGCACCUUAGUAGAGAAAGCCGAAAACUUACUGUCAUGAUACGGCGAGAGCUGGUCAGCUGUUCAAGAGGUUGUAAAAUCUUUAAGGAUUUAUUCCGCAUAAUGCCAUAACCAAUGCAGCGUGCGAUGGAUCGGUCUUUCUUCCAAUCAGGUGCUGAUAGAGCCCCUCGUGCAGUCUUCCGAACACCAGGGGCUAUGCCUACCUUACUAAAACUCCUAUGGCUAAGUGAGAGUGAUAAAGCCUUAUAGUCUGAUUGCAUGGUUCGUUGUGCUGAACACCUCCUUUAAGGACCAAAAAAUGGGAUAAAGAGUGUUCAUGUUUAUCCCGAACACCCCCGUACUUCCUAUGUGGGGGCAGAAGCCGACGACUGGCCAACUCUCAGAAUUAAUAUAUAUGAAACGGCCGCACAAGAGGAAAAACUUUCACAUAACAGGCAAUAAAUAAUAAAAGUGACCUCGUUUCGCCUUACAAAGGACAUCAUGACUGUUUUCAUGGAAAUACAAUGUCUUUGGUACAUUGCUCCGCCACAAGGCGGGCUCCUUUCAGGACACUAUCAUAAUAUAAUUCGGGCUUGCGGCGCUCCUUCCCCUCCGGCGGUCCCUCGGUCAUCAGCUUUUCAGCAUCAAGCUUUCUCCAGUGCACUUUCGCGUGGGCAAACGCCAUUCGUGCACCCUCCAUACAGACCGACCACUUAAUGACUUCGAGCCGAGGGCAAGAACUCACAAUCUGCUUCACGAGCCCGAAGUAACUGCUUGGAAUUGGCUCGGCGGGCCAUAGCCGGACAAUCAAAUCCUUCAUGGCUAGUCCGGCUGCCUUGUGCAGUUCGAGCUGCUUCAGUUGAUCGGCAAAUGACACCGGAUAAUUUGGUGCCAAAUACUGCGACUAGAAGAGCUUUUAGCAGUCUUAUUUUCUUCAGCUCGGUAGAAUUGGGCGGCAUUAGAUAUGCUGCGUGGCAGCUCCGCAAACGCCCCUGGAGAAAUCAGAAUUCAAUUUAUCAACUUGAUUUUCUCCUUUCACUAAAUAAAGACCGCCUUGUAUAAGAAAAAGCCUUACCAGCCGCAAUCUUCCUCGCCUCCUGAAUUUCCUUCAGAGCACCUUGGGCUUCCUCCUGAGCAUCAUUUGCGGCUUGGAGAGCUUGGGUGAGUUCGGAUUCUUUCCCUGAUAAACUCUGCUCCAAAGUCUCGCUUUUCUUCACGACAUCCUGGAGCUCUCGUUCAGCUUCAAUGACCUUAGCCUCGUGCUUCUCGCGAAGAGCCUGCUUCGUGGCUGCCUUCUUUUCGGCUUCGGCCACAACCUUCUUAAGCGCCUCAAUUUCGGUCAUCGCCCCUAGAGCGCACAAUAAAAAUACUUUCAUCAGGCACACUUAUUCAUUUGUGCUAAACGGAACAAGGUUUCGGCAUACCUUGGUUAUCCUCCAACUGCUUCUUCACUCGGCCAAGUUCUUCUUCGGCCCGCUCCAGACUCUGCUUCAGUCCAGAUACUUCCGCAGUAUGAGAGGCGGCAGUCGCUACAGACGCCUGCUUAUAAACGAAGAGAUAUAUAUGUCAUCAACUAAGUCUCCUGCGAACAGAAAUUUGAUCCUCUGUCCGGUUCUUUCUUUCGCCGAACAGUGUAUCAGGGGCUACUAUCCAUACUAUGACAAUCUUCAAAACCUCAUAAAACAUACCUCAAAGCCUUUUAUAAGGCUGAUGUAGGAUUCAUUCAGUCCACUUUCAACGGACUGAAUCUUCUCAAUCACCGCACCCAUAAGGGUGCGAUAUUCAUCGAUGAUGGAAGCACUUUUUAGCACUGUCGAUAAGCUAUCCUGCACCUUUGCUUGGACAGAGGUUAUCGGUGGAGCAGGCAUGCCCCCUCCAGCCGAGGGAGGCUGCCUGCCUGAUUCUGGAGCCUUAAAGGUCUCCGGGACUGUGUCCGGCUGUGGGCCGAAUUCGAGAUCGCCCUCGCCGUCGACGCUCAUGGGAACCUUCGCUCCCAUAUAUCCGGCACCUGAAGUUUGGCCUCUUGGCACUGCUUUUGUGGUCUUUCCCCCUCCCUGGUCUGGGUCUUUCUGGGACGACACCUCGGUGUCAUUCCUAUGUUUAGGGGAAGGGGCCUUCGGGGGUGUCUCGCUCUCUAUGGCAUCCGAGCUCAACGAAUCCUCCGACGAGGAUUGUUCGGUGCGGGACCUCGCCGGACUGCAAAAAUUAUGGCGCGGAUUAAAAUAUUAUUCCAUAAUGAUCCUGGACGCAUAGGCGUGUUCGGGCUUUGUAUACUCACGAGUUCACCAGGGGCUGGGCCCUGGGAUCCCACUCCGGGCUGCUAUCGGCAGCGGUGGUGGAUGCCUCUGGAAGCGGGAUUUUUCCCCUCUUAGGCGAUUCGGCCUCCAAGGAUGAGGAGGCCGUCCUUUUCUUUCUCCUCCCCGCGGGGGACUCAUCUUCUUCCUCCUGCUCAUCCUCUUCGGAGGAAGAAUGGGCAUUGGAGUCUUCGGAUUUUGUGUCCGAAGCGCCGCGGCGACGGAGGCUGCCCUGGUCUCCUUGGCCUCCUUUUUGGCCUUCUUCUUCGGUGCCUUGUAAGGCGCUGGGACCAGCAUCUUCGUCAUAAGUGGGCCGGCCGAUUCUUCCAGCAGUGGGGCUGGACAGUGUAUCCGCCCCACCUUCUUCGUCCAUCCCUAGGAGAAUUGUGGAAAGCACGUUAAAGUGUCUUCCUCGGGAUAUGCCAAUGAAACAUAUGAAUUGCCAAAACAUAGCAGUGACUUACCGGACUUGCAGGGCGGGACAGUUGGUACCCACGGUCCUCGGCGGAGUCCGACCACGAUUUGUCGGACUUAAAAAGCACCUUCCAGAUGUCCUCGUGCGAGGUGCCAUAGAGCUCCCACAGGGUCUGGUGCUCGGCCGGGUCGUAUUCCCACAAAUUGCAAGCCCGGUGCUGACAAGGAAGAACCAGGCGAACUAACAUCACCUGGACUACGUUGACAAGCUUGAUGUUCUUGUCUUCCAUACCCUUGACGCGUGUCUGGAGCACCGACAGUUCAUCGGACGAAGACCAGUUUAGGCCCAUUCUUGGGCCAGGACGUAAGCUGCAGGGGGGCUCCGGAUCGGAAUUCGGGAGUAGUGGCCCACUUUUUGCCGCGCGGCUCAAUGAUGUAAAACCACUGUUGCUGCCACUCCUUGACAGAAUCAUUGAAAGUGCAUGUUGGUCAUGUGACCUUGGGCAUCUUGCUCACCAUGGUGCCUCCGCACUUGGCAUGCUCGCCGUUCACUACCUUGAGCUUCACAUUGAAAAUUUUCAGCCAUAAGGCGAAGUGUGGCGAGAUGCGGAGAAAGGCCUCACACACGACGAUAAACGUCGAGAUGUUGAGAAAGGAAUUAGGGGAUAGAUCAUGAAAAUCGAUCCCGUAAUAAUACAUGAUGCCGCGAACAAAUGGGUUAAGGGGAAACCCAAGCCCGCGGACAAAAUGAGGGAGGAAUACAACCCUGUCGUGGGGCUCCGGAGUGGGGACAAUCUGUCCCGCCGUCGGAAGACGGUGGCCGAUUUUCUUGGCCAGGUACCCGGCCUCCCGAAGCUUUUUGAUAUCCUUCUCCUGGACGGUAGAGGCCAUCCAUUUGCCUCCUGCUCCGGAUCCGGACAUUUUCGGAAGACCUCUUUUGGUGGAGAAGACGAACGCUUGGGCGCUAGGGCUCGAGCGAAAGGGAAUGGAUGAGUAGAGAGAGAAGAAGGCGUGGGUGAAAAAGAGGAGUCCUUAUCUCUUUAUAGAGGCAAUAGAAACUGUGCGCCUCCCCGCUUGCCUGGUAAAACCCACUCGUUCCCCACACGCCGUGAUUGAUGGCACGGUUGGGUUACCCACGCCCGUAUUGAUGAGAAUCCCGUGAUAAGGGGACAUGAUCUCUGCUUCGACAAGAUGUCCAAGAAAACCGCCUUGCAAUAUGCGCAACAACUGGUUGAGAAAAACGGUUCAAAUAAUGACCGGGCCAUAGUGUGAUAUGAAGUUAUGAAAAAUUGUCAGCAGAUUCGAUCCAUGAAAAAUUAUGCUCUCUAUGGUGGUAUGUGGAAAUUAUUUUGCAGAGCCGGACACAAUCCUCGUAUUCAAGAUCUUCCAUGGAGUAUUCAAAAAAGGAACCUGCCUUGCAAUGCCGAAGACAAUUUGCACGCCGGACUCAUUCUCAUUGAAGCCUGGUUCAGGGGCUACUGAGGGAGUCCUGGAUUAGGGGGUCCUCGGCCAGCCAGACUAUAUCCUUUGGCCGGACUGUUGGACUAUGAAGAUACGAGAUUGAAGACUUCUUCCCGUGUCCGGAUGGGACUCUCCUUUGCGUGGAAGGCAAGCUUGGCGGUUCGGAUAUGUAGAUCUCCUUCUCUGUAACCGACUCUGUGUAACCCUAGCCCCCUCCGGUGUCUAUAUAAACCGGAGGGUUUAGUCUGUAGGACAACAACAAUCAUAAAUAUAGGCUAGCUUCUAGGGUUUAGCCUCAAUGAUCUCGUGGUAGAUCAACUCUUGUAAUACUCAUAUCAUCAAGAUCAAUCAAGCAGGAAGUAGGGUAUUACCUCCAUCGAGAGGGCCUGAACCUGGGUAAACAUCGUGUCCCCAGCCUCCUCUUACCAUUAGCCUUAGAUGCACAGUUCGGGACCCCCUACCCGAGAUCCGCCGGUUUUGACACCGACAGCGAUCGUCUAUUUUCGAUCACCCGAAGUCGGAGCCAUGUAGACAUCUACUCCGCCGCAUUAACAUUUCCAUCUAUGCAUGGUUUUGCCUACUCUCCCCCUUGUUCUCCUUCACGUUUCGGUGCUAGGUUGUAGUGGUGAAAGUAAACAUGUAUGUUUGUGUUAUGCACACUUCUCGUAGGGCGGCUGGAUAUCCACAUAUAUAGAUUACAAUGCUUGAUCAUCAAGGAAGAUCAAGAGAAUCCCUAGCCAAAUCAGUACAUAUCCGGUAGGUGACCAUAUGCCUAUACAAAGUCAUACAUACAAAAGGAAUACAUUAACACACCCCUCCCCAGUUUGUGCGUCAUAUGGCAAGAGGCACAAACUGAACCGAAACUCGGAGAAGACCUGCAAGGAGAAUCCUUUUCCAUAAUGUCGGCGUACUGAUGUGAAGGUGGCACAUGUAGAACCCGCACCUCGCCAAGGGACACCUUCUCACGAACAAAGUGAAUGUCGAUCUCAAUGUGUUUGGUACGAUGAUGCUGGACUGGGUUGGAUGCCAUGUAGACGGUGCUGACAUUAUCACAGAAGACAAUGGUGGCAGUCGAUAGGGGAUGAUGAAGCUCACCUUGAAGCUGCCUAAUCCAAUAACACUCGGCUACCACAUGAGCAACAACACGGUACUCCGCCUUGACACUGGAACAAGAUACCGUGGUCUGGCGUCUGGACGACAAGGAGACCAAAGUAUAACCGAGAUAGACACAAUAUCUAGAGGUCGAACGUCUGGUGUUGGGGGCAGCGGCCCAGUCAGCGUCAAAGUAAGCUGUGAGAGAGGCCGAUGAUGAGCAGGAGAUGCGGAAGCUAAGGUCAAGUGUGCCCCUGAUAUACCAGAGGAUAUGCUUGACCAGGUGCAGAUGCGGCUCGCGAGGUGCAUGCAUAUAGAGACAAGCAUGCUGAACAGCGUGGGCGAUGUCGGGUCGCGUGAGUGUCAAGUACUGUAGAGCUCUAGCAUAGAUGCGGUACUCGGUGGGAUCAGUAAGGAGAAACCCAUCUUGCACCGAGAGCUUAUAUUUGGCAUCAAUGGGAGUAGCCGACAGAUUACAAUCAACCAUGCCGGCACACUGGAGAAGACCCAACGCAUGCUAUCACUGUGAGAGCACCAUAACAGACGCUAUUCAUGAUGCCGAGAAAGAAUGGUAAGUCACCAAGAUCUGUCAUGGCAAACUCGGAGUGAAGAUGCUGAGUAAGAUGAUGAAGGAGCUGAUCCGUGGAGGCGGUGAUAACAAUGUCAUCCACAUAUAGAAAAAUGUAGGCAAGGUCACGUCCACUCUUGAUAUGACCAACUAUGUAUCUGUUAGUAUCGACAAUGAUGAAGUACAAGCCGCUGGUCAAGAUCAAGUUAACGUUACUUCGUUAAUUAUUGUUAAUAAUGUACAUGCUGGAACAUAUUUACGGCCGAGUUACUCCGGCAAGUAUAAGUAUGCGCUGGUUAAUAUAACAAUGCACGCAUGCUGAUACAAUUGAUGGUUUAACAAGAAGUUUUCAUGGCUUUGGCUUGGACCGGGAGAAAAUCAAUCUUGAUGGACGCAUGCAUGUACAAGGACUCCAAAACAGGCACGUACAUGCAAAGGAUAUAUUCUUCCUUCCUCACGUGAGCUGUGGAGAUUCAUCAAGAAAAAGGCAUGGCAUCAUGCACACCCAGGAAACUUAUUCGCUUGGGGGAUCAACGCUCAAUUGGAAGCAUAAAAUCAGAAGCUGCCAUAUUCUGUUUUUAUAUUUGCCGAGAAAGGAGUUUGCUGGGGAAGGUACAAGAUAUUGUUGCGGCUAUUUCUUUCCCUCCGUGAUCUUGGUUGGGGUACACCGUAGUUAACCAAUCAAAGCUACGUCGAACUAGAAAUUAGUUGUUUUUUUUAAUGGUAAUUCCUAGAUGUAAUCAUGUAAAAGGAGUCCUGUUUCUAGACAUAUUGGUGUGCGUGCGUGAGGGGCCUUAGGCCAAGUUUGAGUUGGCUAUAAAAGCCGCAAGGCGUCAUGUAAAAGAGUUUUAGGUUAUUUUUCUUCGGUCUAGACAACAUGUGUAUCGACUAUUAAGCGGCCCUUUUUGGGUGCCGUUGUUAUUUAUUUUGUGUGAACUUUCUGCGUGAAUGUUGCACUUGGCUUGAGAUUCGUCGUGAACGUCUACUACGGCAAGGAAGUUCCUCGUGUGUCGAGGGAUUGUCCAUUGGUCAUUGUCGCCCCUGAUUCAGGUUACACGUAUUGCUCGUGUAAUUGGGAGUAUUUUUUAUUGGUGGAUUUUGGAGGUUAUUGCAUUGUAAAAGAUCGGGCCAUAUCAGCAGCACAACCGAGGUCGUGCCCUCAUCAGUUGGUAUCAGAUUAUUGGGUUUAUUACGGUGCAAUUUUUUCCCUCUAAUUUAUUGGUACAUAUUAUUCAACUGCGAUGAGAACAGAGCACUACUUUGAUGGUGAGAUGUCACAUUGUGAGAAGGAUCCGUCUCGUGCCCUUUCUUGGUUUCAGAUCUACACUAGGGUGAAGGUGGGAAAAAUUUCUUGCUCCAUGAUGAUAGAUCGUUCUUCCAAAAUAAAUUUGGCGAGUCAAACUUUGGUCAAUGCAUUGAAGCUAGUGGUGAUAGAGCAUCCAGAUCCAUAUAAGCUUGCAUGGCAGGGAAAAUAUGUGAUAAUAAAACAUCAAGUUGAGGUGCCUCUUGGAUUUUGUGGAUUUAGUGAUUCGGUUUAUGUGAUGUUCUUCCAUAUUAUAUGUAUGCGUGUAGCUUGAUACUUGGUCAGUCUUGGACAAAAAAGAAGGAGCUGCAGGUUGAUAAAUCCGGUACUUAUUCUUGGGGGAAAUUUAAGUUUGUUUUUCAAGGACAGUGGGCUUAAUUUGAAGCAUAUUCUUCAGAAGAAUAUUUGGAGGAUUGUAAGAGGCGAGACCAUGCACAGGCUGCAAUUGAUGUGAAGAAACUCCAAGAGAAGAUGAAGGAGUUUGAAGAAGACAAGCAAAGGAAGGUUGAGGCUGCUAAAUUACUAGCCUCCAAAAUUAAUAUUGAUGCAACUGUUCGGGAGGAGGACUCAAAACCGAGGACGGUUUUGUUUCAAGGGAGAGGGGAUGAUAUGACCAACUAUGUAUCUGUUAGUAUCGACAAUGAUGAAGUACAAGCCGUUGGUCAGGAUCAAGUCAAUGUUACUUCAUUAAUUAUUGUUAACUAGCAAAUAUGUCUGUGCGUUGCAACGGGAGAACAAAACAAAAAACAGUCAAGAACAAAACGUCAAGGAUCAAACUGCUGGCCCCUUGCUUUCUACUGGACAUGUCGUGGGCCGUCGGAUAAGAUGCAUGAUGGUCGGCGAGCCACAUAGAAGAGUUACAAUAUGUCCAUGGUAUCCGGGUGUAAAGCAACUAAGAGCUGCAUCUUUGCUGCAUCUUUUCAUGGUGUUCGGGUGCAGAACAACCUGAGUUAUCAACAUUGGUGGCCUCAUCGACUUGUUCCUCUCAAGAAUCGUUGUGGAGUAGUCAUUCCCGUUCAGAUUCUUCCUUCUCAGACACACUAUAUGUGAUCUUGAAUAAAUGUGCAGCCCGCCGGUUCAAAAUUAAUAGUAGGUCAUAUGAUGAUAAAAUAUUAAUGUAUCCUGUAGUUUCACAUUGAUUGUAUUUAAUUAAUAUUUUUACACAUGCAUAAAAAUUUAUAUUAUAUAUUUUUCUUACACAUGUAUAAACUCUGCAAUGGUAAAUUACAUUUGAUUGUACACAAAAUUUCAACUACUACAUCUCAGUAGGAACAUUUUACGUUACCAAAACAAAAAUAGGAUGAAAUCGUUCACACGAUGGGAAUACAUAAAUAUUGUAGGACAAUUUGUAUAGAGGCUGCAACAAUUAAUUCAGACCGGAGUGUUAAAUAUAUUGUUACGUGACAUGUUGUCACGCCUCUUUCCCUCUCUGUUUAGUCUAUCUUAUAGGCCAAGUUAUAUCCCUAGAUUAGAUAGAGUUAGUUGGAGUUAUUCUCUCUCUUUAACUUCCUAUCUUUUCUUCUGUUAUCGUUGAUUCUGUAAACACCUACGAGAGGGUUUUCUCUCGUACAAUCAAUAUAAGACCAUGCGGGCUCUCUUAGGAGGGUUGAGACGCUUUACCCAUCUUUGACAUGGUAUACAAAGCCUCCUCUUCCAUCACAUCUAGCUAAACCCUUCCCCCUCGCAGCCAUCACCUUCCCCCUGCGCCGCCAUGUCCUCCUCAUCGCAAGUUUCCUCCCCUGGCCUCAACUACACAACUUCCGAGCCACUCAAUCGCAGCAACUACAUCCUCUGGAAAGCCCAAGCUCGUUCCCAGAUUAUGGGAACAGGGCUAUAUGGGUACAUCGAUCAAUCAACUCCUGAACCACCCAAAACCAUCGUGACCAAAAACUCUGAAGGGAAAGAUCAGAUCGUCCCCAACCCCGCCUACAACCCCUGGCUUGUCCAGGAUCAGCAGAUCGUGGCCUAUCUUUUGCGGAAUCUCUCCAAGGAAGUUCUCAUCCAAGUAGCAUCCUUAGAACAGUCUCAUGCCAUCUGGUCUGCCCUAGCAAAGAUGUUCGCCGCUCAAUCCCGUUCCCGUGAGAACAACUGUCGCAUAGCUCUCUCCAACGCACAGAAAGGCACCCAGAACGCCUCCACCUAUUUCGGCCACAUGAGAGCCCUCUCCGAUGAGUUAGCUGCCGCUGGAAAGCCCAUCACCGACCAAGAACUUCUCUCCUUCAUCAUUGGGGGGCUGGAUAUGGACUAUCAGCCUCUCAUAUCGGCGCUGGAUGUGCGCGUGGAACCCCUGUCCGUGGAUGAUCUCUUCGUCAUGGUCGCUAACUUUGACUAAUGCGUUGAGAUGUUCCAAGGAACGGGGGCAGGAGCCUUCAAGUCAUCUGCAAAUCUUGCUGCUCGAGGCCGCGGCGGGUCUCCCCAAGGCUACCGCAAGGGUGGUGGUGGCGGGGGCUCUCGCGGCGGCGGCAGCUAUGGUGGUGGCGGCAGCAGCGGCGACGGGAACAACUACAACACCGGCAACAACCACUACAACAACAAUGGCAACACCGGUGGCGGCAGUGGUGGUGGCGGCGGCCACCACCAACGCAACAGCAACAACUACAACUCCAACAACACCAACCGGUGCCCCUUCUACAACAACAACAGGGGACGCCCGUUCCAAGGUUACGAUGAGUAUGAAAAUAAAUGUCAAAUUUGUAAAAGGAAUAAUCAUAUUGCCAAGGAUUGUGACUAUCGCUAUGCCGAGAACAAUUCCCAACGCAAGAAAGUUGCAGCAGCUGCAGACACCUCAUACGGAGUGGACACAAAUUGGUACGUCGACUCCGGCGCCACGAAUCAUAUCACCAUGCACGAGAAGUAUCAUGGCCAAGAUCAAGUCCACAAUGCAAACGGUGAAGGUAUGAAGAUAGAUCAUGUUGGUCAUGCAAUUGUCACUACCCCUUAUCGCAAUAUUCAUCUCAAAAAUAUUUUGCAUGUCCCACAAACUGAAAAAAUCUUCUUUCUGUUCACCGCAUUGCCAUAGACAACAAAGUUUUUCUUGAGUUUCACCCAUAUUUCUUUUUGAUUCGUGAUCAGGCCACGAGGAACAUUCUCUACCGCGGUAGAUGUGUGCAUGGGCUCUACCCUUUGAUUCCCCAGUUUAGAAGAUUCAAUAAACAAGUUUGUGGCGUUAUCAAACUUUCAUCAGAACGGUGGCAUGCGAGAUUAGGACACCCCUCUUUUGUUAUUGUUCAACAAGUGCUUAGAAAUAAUCAGCUCCCAUGUGUUGGUGAGCGUAGUCUUGAAACUAUUUGUGAUUCUUGUCAAAAGGCGAAAGCCCAUCAGUUACCAUAUCCAGUUUCUACUAGUAUUUCUACCAAACCUUUACAACUUGUUUUCUCUGAUGUUUGGGGUCCAGCCCCCUCUUCUGUUGGUAGACAUACUUAUUAUGUUAGUUUCAUAGAUGACUACAGUAAAUUCACUUGGAUUUAUCUUCUUAAGAAACGUUCCGACGUUUUCCAAGUUUUCCAUAACUUUCAAGCACUUGUUGAAUGACAAUUUGACACCAAAAUUCUCGCCGUCCAAUCUGAUUGGGGUGGCGAGUAUGAGAAGCUAAACUCCUUUUUUCAAAAGUUGGGCGUGUCUCAUCAUGUUUCAUGCCCUCAUGCGCACCAGCAAAACGGCUCUGCCGAACGCAAGCAUAGGCACAUUGUUGAAGUAGGGCUUGCCCUUCUUGCAGGUGCUUCCAUGCCUCUUAAAUUUUGGGACGAGGCAUUCCUUACGGCAGUCCAUCUUAUUAAUAUGCUUCCCAGUCGUGUCAUUAACAAUGAAACACCCAUGCAAUGCCUUCUUCAUACUCGACCGAACUAUCAUUCACUUCGUGUUUUUGGUUGUGCCUGCUGGCCUAAUCUUCGUCCGUAUAAUACUCGCAAACUCAGUUUCCACUCAAAACAAUGUGUUUUUCUGGGGUAUAGUGCCCAACACAAAGGCGUUAAAUGCCUUGAUGUUCCUACCGGUCGAGUAUAUAUCUCUCGUGAUGUUGUUUUCGAUGAGACUGUUUUUCCUUUCGCAACUCUCCAUCCUAAUGCUGGUGCUCUUCUUCGCCAAGAAAUCCUUCUCCUUCCACCACAUCUAUCUGGCAUAUCUCCUGGGGAUGACAAUUGUAAUGACUACGUGACUAACUCUUUUGACCGUGUUCUUGAGGUUUCUGAUGAUGCAGGAUCCAGUGGUGAAACUCCACAAGAAAAUUUGAUGCAAAACAAUGGAGAAAAUGGCUCAAACAUCUGUCAUUUCAUGUGUCCUCCGCUUGGGGACAGCGCUGCAACCGAGUCCCCCUCGGGAUCGGUGGCGACAGUGCAGCCGCUAUCACCUUCGGGAUCGCAGCCGCGCCUGGCGCGCCGCGCCACCGAAUCUUCACCAGGCGACGCGGGUGGCCCCUCCUUGCUCGACACGUCUCCACCUGGGGGGUCGCUGUCGCGGACCCAGCCGACGCGGUUUGGCCUGACCCCGCGGGUCUACGCCAGACGCGAGACGACAGGGGCCCAUCCGGAGCAGGCGGCUAGAUCUUCUGCGCCGCUCCCAGCUACCUCGUCUCCCGAUCUGGCCGCAGAAGAUCCGGCGUCACCAGCGGGGACUGCAUCAGCCUCGGGUUCCCCUGGAUUCUCUGUCCAGGAGCAGCAGCUUGUGGGAUCUUCUGCGGACGUGUCUGGGUCUCCUGUUUCCGUACCCCCACGAGUUACAAGGCUUCAGGCUGGGGUAAUUCAACCUGUCAAUUAUAAAGUUAAAUAUGGUUUGACCGGCUCUACCGGAGAACCCAACACGUUUCAGGAAGCAAGCACGGAUAUCAAGUGGAGGAAGGCUAUGGAGGAAGAGUUUCAACCUCUUCAGAAAAAUAAAACGUGGCAUCUUGUUCCUUCACAGUGAGGCAAAAAUUUAAUUGAUUGCAAAUGGGUGUUCCGGAUAAAGAAAAAGGCAGAUGGCACCAUCGAUCGUUACAAGGCUAGACUCGUUGCAAAAGGAUUCAAACAGAGGUAUGGCAUCGAUUAUGAAGAUACUUUUAGCCCUGUUGUUAAAGCUGCCAGUAUACGUCUUGUUCUGUCUAUUGCCGUAUCUAGAGGAUGGAGUCUCAGGCAGCUAGAUGUACAGAACGCGUUCCUCCAUGGUGUUCUGGAAGAGGAAGUAUAUAUGAAACAACCUCCUGGGUUUAAAGACAGAAACAAGCCUUUUCAUGUUUGCAGGCUAGAUAAGUCUCUUUAUGGCUUGAAGCAAGCACCUAGAGCAUGGUACUCGCGGUUGAGUUCUAAGUUACAAACACUGGGCUUUGUUCCCUCCAAAUCUGAUACGUCAUUGUUCAUAUACAAUAAGUUCAAAACAUCUAUAUUUGUGCUUAUUUAUGUUGAUGAUAUUAUUGUCACAAGUUCAUCAAAUGAAGCAGUCACUGCCUUGUUGAAGGAUCUGAAUUCAGAAUUUGCUCUUAAGGAUCUAGGUGACUUGCAUUUCUUCCUUGGUAUUGAGGUUAAGAGAAACAGUGAAGGUGGUCUUCAUCUUUCUCAAGAAAAAUAUGCAACUGAUCUUUUGAAUAGAGUUGGCUUGCAGGGUUGUAAACCAUCACCCACACCAUUGUCUAGUUCAGAAAAACUCUCUCUUGCAGCGGGACAACCCUUGAGUCAAGAGGAUGGCACCAAGUACAGAAGCUUGGUAGGUGCGCUUCAGUAUUUGACACUCACCAGGCCUGACAUUUCCUUUGCUGUCAAUAAGGUUUGUCAGUUUCUUCAUGCACCUACUACAAAUCAUUGGACUGCUACCAAACGCAUACUGAGAUAUGUAAAAUACACCUUGGGUGUUGGCCUAACCUUCAGCAAGUCGUCAUCCACACUUGUCAGUGCUUUCUCUGACUCUGACUGGGCAGGUUGUUUGGAUGACAGGAGAUCAACAGGUGGUUUUGCAAUCUUCUUUGGACCUAAUUUGAUUUCAUGGUGUGAAAAGAAACAGGCUACAGUUUCAAGGUCUAGUACUGAAGCAGAAUACAAGGCAUUGGCAAAUGCCACAGCAGAGAUCAUCUGGGUCAAAUCUAUGCUUAGGGAGCUUGGGAUAUAUCACACACCAACUCCCUGUCUUUGGUGUGAUAAUCUUGGUGCCACUUAUUUGUCUGCUAAUUCUGUCUUUCAUGCAAGGACUAAACAUAUUGAGAUUGAUUAUCACUUUGUUCGAGAAAGGGUUGCAAGCAAAGAAUUGGAUAUUCGAUUUGUUCAUUCAAAGGAUCAAGUUGCUGAUGAAUUCACCAAAGCUUUGGCCACAAGACCGUUUAAAGAAUUUCGACGUAAUCUUAACUUGCGCAGUUUAGAUUAAGGGAGGGUGUUAAAUAUAUUGUUACGUGACAUGUUGUCACGCCUCUUUCCCUCUCUGUUUAGUCUAUCUUGUAGGCCAAGUUAUAUCCCUAGAUUAGAUAGAGUUAGUUGGAGUUAUUCUCUCUCUUUAACUUCCUAUCUUUUCUUCUGUUAUCGUUGAUUCUGUAAACACCUACAAGAGGGUUUUUUCUCGUACAAUCAAUAUAAGACCAUGCGGGCUCUCUUAGGAGGGUUGAGACGCUUUACCCAUCUUUGACAUGGAGGGCAUUUUUUCUGGUGGAGCUCAUUCUCACGUAUAAAAUCCCUUCAAGAUAGAGUCCGGAGCUGUACAUAUUAGUAUCAUCUAGCUCGUGUAGGAAGACUGAACUUACUACCGGUCAGACCGAGUCUUUUCUUUUACAACGCACACUCGUACAUAUUGGUUCUCUCUCACGUACAAAGGUUUCAUACGAAUGAAAAUUCGCGCUUACUACAAAGAACAUCAGCACACCGGAGAGCCUCGGUCAUUGGCAUAACAACAAAGUUAAGCAUAACAACAAAGUUAACUACAAAUUAACUCACUGUAAAUUUUAGCAUUAAAGAACCAUGAUGUAAAGUGCAAUAUCAUGCUGCGGAAUGUUACUAACUGCUUAUGAUUUUCAAAAUAGGUAGUAUAUGCAUGUGUGUCAAUGUUUAUCACGACAACAGAAGGAAAGAAUCAAAAUUCUAAAAAUCAGAACUGGAAAACACCAUGUGUAAUUAUUUGUUAUAUUCACAGCAUUCAUUGUUUGCUCAUUAUUAAAUAUAAGCUAAUCUGACUAAAUGUUUGAUCCGCUAUCCCCAAUAAUUAUUUGUUAUAUUAUAUUCACAACAUGUAUUGUUUGCUCAUCAUCAAAUAUAAGCCAAAUCCGGCCAAAUGUGUUGAUCUGGUACGAAAAAUUUCAAUGAUCCAGAUUUGUAAUGUUACAGAACUAUCAAAAACAACAUCGUAGUUCUAAAUUUGUAGCAGUGCUUUACUUCUAGCACCUAAAAUCAACUGUGCCUAUUAAUCAACCAUGACAAAGUUUAUGUCGUAAACAACAUUAUCAAUCAUGGUGCUUGUGAAUCAUGAAUAUUGCCAAAACUGUAGUUCCCUUCCUCCCCAGAAAUUAACAAAAAACAAAACAAUACAACACCUACUUCUCACUCAUAUUUCCAAAUGACUUUCAUAAGGCACGGAGAGCUGUUCCGAUGAGAAAACAGAUAAAAAGCUUCUAUAAUCCUGGGAGAUCAGCGAAACAUGUGAAACAUUAAAGUAACAGUGAAUGACAGACCGAAAUGCAAAAGAAUGAAUUAGAAUGACAAUUUACAGUCCCUAGCAACUGCAACAAACUGUAGUUCUACAAGUGCGUACAUCUAUCUUCUUAUACUGAUACUGAAGCCAAGAAUCAAAACAACACUAUGAGGUCUAUCUAAACUGACACCAUACAUGUUAGCAAAGCCAUGACUGCAUGUGAAAGCAUAUAUUUAUACUUUUUAAUUAGCAGCAAGUAUAUACUACAUACUGGAAUAAUUUCGGGCAUUUAAUUGAAGAAUCAUAAAUUGAAUUGUUACCAGAAAAAGUAUUGCCUAUGUUGAUCUUUAAAGCUUUUCUUUUUUGCUGUGGUCAUGUUCUAUAAACUUCAAAUAUUAUGCAUAAUUUGUAUUCUAUCUCAAACAAAACUGAACAAUAGGUCUAUACCUCAUUCUUAUGACAUACCUGACUGCCAUACAAAAUAAUAGGCUACAUCAAAUUUUGUGACAGAAGCUAAAAAGUAGAAAUCUUACAUCUUUUUCAAAGCUCUGGUGUUUGUUGGCUUGGAGCUCCUGAACCUGCUUUUCGCGUACAGUGCAGGUGAAAUCUUAGCCUGUUGUUAUAGUCAAAGUACGAUCUCCACUGAAAUCCUCCCCUUGGGCCGCCAUCUCCAAACCUUCAUGUGUCAGAGGAAAACAUAAUAAAACAUGCCAAACGGAUUGAGAAAAGUGACAUAAUAAGUAGUAUCUAUUUUUAGUUGCAGUAGAAACAUCAAGGCUAGGAUUAACUAUUUUUUCGUUGUGCACUACAUCUGCUGCUGCACACAAAAAUGAUCAUUGCAUUCUUCCAAAUCCAGAAUGUCCAGUCUUUGCCAAUCUAGCUCAUUAUAAUCAUCAUAUAGGGAAGCUCAACAUUGAGAAAAGAAAAAAGAUAAAUAGACAAAGAAGAUAUUAUUGCCAUAUUUUUGCUAGAAGAUAACUCAGCCUAUAUGACUAUAUCGAUUUAGACAAAGAUAUUUACCCAAGAUCCUUCUCUCUAAUUAUCAAAAAUCAUGCUUGGAGUCAAAACCAAGCAAACUUGCAUCUUGAUCAGCCUACACUUUAUACUUACAACAGCAACCGUAUACUGCACAAAUUAUCAACAAUACAAACUGAAAGACAUGCAGUUCUUGUUUGAGAACUGCCUACACGCAUAUCAUCCACUUUAUACUUACAACACCGGCUGUACACUGCACAUUAUCGUGCAGUUAUUGUUUGAGAACCUCUUGUUUGAGACCCGAAGAGAGUUGUGAUAUGUAAUAUAUAGCAAAAAUUUGCAACGUGGAAGAUCAGAACACAGAAUUCAAAUUAAUUUGGUGAAUGAAUGAUACUUACACAAUCUGAAUCUGAUGCUGCCGAUGCAGGCCGUGCUCACUGCUGUAGAAGGUGUAUAUAAAAGUUCAGUACCCUGUUCCUCCUUUCCAAAUCUACCAGACUGCUUAAUUUACAAACAAAGAAACUUGUGCUGCUUGCCAUGGGAGAGAUGGUGGCGGGGAAAACACAACCUUAGAAAACAUGAUGCUUGUAUAACCCCAGAAACGUCAAUGAUUUGACAUGAGUGUCACAGGCGGCCAAGCAAAUAUGCUACUUAUCAACACACGCAUGCACGCACAGUACAUGUUAUCUAUCAAAGUAACAACAAAUCAGAGACAAAUGCCUCAUGUUGUCCCCACGGUUCAAUGGAAUGGAUUGUAUCUAAUCAGGACAUCCAAUCAGUGGUGUCAUCAUCACAAUGAACCCACGAACAUGUACAACAAGGGAGCAGGUACCUUUCUCUGCUUGGAGCUCCUUGUGCGGGUCAUUGGAGCUCCUUGUGCGGGUCAUGUCGUGGAUGCCCUCCAUGGAAGGAACGAACUGCUGCUGCUGCUCCAGACCGAAUCAAAUCAAUGUGGUGCAAUGUAGACCCUGCAAUCCAUCCAUAUACAGAACCAUGGCGUCAGCACUCACCAGGGUCGGACCUUGACGAGCAGCUCCAUGGCAUGGGUCUCCUUGACGAGCAGGUCCGGUCCUGCCGCGGAUCGUGCCGCCACCAUGUAUCUCCCUCUCCUCUCCUCUCGGGAUUCAAGCGGUCGUCGAGGGAGAAGAGAAGGGGCGAAGGGGACUACAAGGACUUCGCGCCACCGCGCCCGAUCCUUCCGUCUCCCGCACCCGUCCGCCAUCACCGGCUCCGGCAAGUUCUUGCCUGGGACACCACACCGCCCCUCUUUUCUCCCUUCUUCUCUCCCUCACCACAUUGUUUCUUUUCUGCCAUGGAUCCGCCCAGGAAGCCGCGCUCCGGCCUUCCUCGUCGUCACCGGCGACCCCCGCCUCUCCGCCGGCCUUCGGAUCCGCCACCCCAGCCCCUGCCGUCCACGGAUCCGCCCCCUCAAGCUCCAGCCGCUCGAGCCGCCGCGUUGACCCGAUCCGAUCCAGAAGGUGCGCUCGAGUGUCCUCCAGCCGUUCCACGUAAAGAAGACCGCGGGUUGAAUAUACAAACUACAGGGUCUUUUUUGUAAAAACGAAACGUUUUCUCAAAUUAGCCACUUAAAAAGGGACUGCGGGUCGAGUAAGGAAAACCACAGGGGCUUUUUGAAAAAACUUAUAUAUAUAUAUAUAUAUAUAGGGAAAAGCAAACCUAUGCAACAAUUUUGUGGAGGUAGCAAUCAUAGCCACAUGUUGAGCUUGGGAUCUGGUCCAAACAUUUGCCAUCUUUGAAUUUCUCACAUUUGGAAUGAAUACAUUUUAUUUCCUGUUAUAGGUGUUUGUGGACCAUGCGUGCACGUGCCUAUGCACUAGGCCCAUCCCAUAGCCUGAUACCCCUGUGGCACGCCAGUCAUGGGCCCGUGGAGAUACGGUUCCAAGCCCAGGAAAGGUCCACAACUGCGCACGGUGCCCAGCCGAUAAAAGGUUCGUGCAACUUUUUUUAGCCUUGUUUUUUUUUUGCCUUAUUCGUUCAACAGCCAUCCCCAUACCCGUGCGAGCAGGAGAGCACCACGCGGGCUGUGCUCCUCCUCUCGUACUCCGGCAGAUCUGUCCGCCAAGCAGGCCAUCCUCCUCCUCCCCUGUGGCAGCUCCCCUCUCCGGCCAUCCUCCUCCUCCUCCCCUACUGUCACUUCUCUGCCCGUGGCCGCCAUGGCCUUACCCGAGCCGUCCGCCGCCAUUCCUGCUCCUCUUCCCGGCGUCCCUCCGUGCUCUCACGUCCCACCUCCACUGCCUGCGGGAAGCAAUUCCUUAGGUCUUUAUCGGUCCUUGUUAUUUUUUUGCAAACUUUCCUAACCCUUGUUAUAUGUUGUUGCAGAUCUUGCUGAAAAUUGGAUCCCUGUAGGCCGAUGUAAGGUAAGAGCAUGGUAAUUAGUGACAUGGUAUGAGCAUGUAGAAUUGAUGUUUUCUGUUGGCUAUGUGUAUUGAAUAUUGAUGCAUGCAUUGCUUAGUUGCUUAAGUGACAUAAUGGAUUUAUUGUGUUUUUGGUUGUGUCGUUCUCGGCAAAGAAACUAUGGAAUCUUUCAAAUGGGCAUUCAAACCAUGGUUGUGGCCUUCUUUUUUCCUGUGUUGUGCGUUCGCAUGUCGUGUAUGGUUGGCCGUGUGUAUGUGGGUGUUGUGGGUGUCUGCUCCGGCCGGUGUGCUUGCUGACUGUGUGGUGUGUGUGCUGAAAUUGUGAUGCCAGUUCUUCAU
rnacentral:lncRNA from 1 species